UUUCAAAGACAUAAACUCCUGCUGCCCACAGGAAGCAACAAUGCAAGAACAAGAUAUGCCAUUCUUGCGAGGAGGGCCAGGCAUGUACAAGGUAGUGAAGACGGGACCUUCAGGUCACAACAUCAGAAGCUGCCCUAACCUUAGAGGUAUCCCAAUUGGAAUGUUAGUUCUGGGAAACAAAGUCAAAGCAGUGGGAGAGGUAACCAAUUCUGAAGGGACAUGGGUGCAACUGGAUCAGAACAGCAUGGUAGAGUUCUGUGAGAGUGAUGAAGGAGAGGCAUGGUCCUUAGCUAGAGACAGAGGCGGAAACCAGUACCUCCGACAUGAAGAUGAACAAGUUCUUCUGGAUCAGAAUUCUCAAACUCCUCCUCCAAGCCCUUUCUCAGUGCAAGCUUUUAAUAAAGGGGCAAGUUGCAGUGCCCAAGGAUUUGAUUAUGGACUGGGAAAUAGCAAAGUUUUGACUGUUUUACCCACUGCAGGUGACCAACUGAGUGCCAUAUUGAAUUCCAUUCAGUCACGACCCAAUCUCCCAGCUCCUUCCAUCUUUGAUCAAGCUGCAAAACCUCCCUCUUCCCUAGUACACAGCCCAUUUGUGUUCGGACAGCCCCUUUCCUUCCAGCAGCCUCAGCUUCAGAGUGAUCGAGGAAACAUCUCAACAUCUUCUAAACCAGCCUCUACAUCAGGAAAAUCAGAGCUGUCCUCUAAACACAGCAGAUCGCUUAAACCUGAUGGACGUAUGAGCCGGACUACUGCUGAUCAGAAGAAGCCAAGGGGCACAGAAAGUUUAUCUGCUAGUGAAUCCCUCAUCUUAAAAUCUGAUGCUGCAAAGUUGAGGUCAGAUUCCCAUAGUAGGUCAUUAUCUCCCAACCAUAACACCUUGCAGACAUUGAAAUCUGAUGGGAGGAUGCCUUCUAGCUCCAGAGCUGAAUCCCCAGGACCAGGUUCUCGGUUGUCAUCUCCUAAGCCAAAGACUCUCCCAGCCAAUAGGUCUAGCCCAUCGGGUGCUAGUUCUCCACGCUCCUCCUCACCACAUGAUAAAAAUCUACCUCAAAAAAGUACUGCUCCUGUUAAGACAAAGCUUGAUCCUCCUCGGGAACGUUCGAAAUCAGACUCUUACACACUUGAUCCAGAUACCCUCCGCAAGAAGAAAAUGCCCCUCACAGAACCUUUGAGAGGACGGUCAACGUCACCAAAACCAAAAUCAGUACCAAAGGAUUCCACAGAUUCCCCUGGAUCUGAAAAUAGAGCUCCCUCUCCCCAUGUGGUACAGGAAAACCUCCACAGUGAGGUGGUCGAAGUCUGCACCUCAAGUACUUUAAAAACAAAUAGUCUAACAGACAGCACCUGCGACGACAGCAGUGAAUUUAAGAGUGUGGAUGAAGGUUCAAAUAAAGUUCAUUUUAGCAUUGGAAAAGCACCACUGAAAGAUGAACAGGAAAUGAGAGCAUCUCCCAAAAUAAGUCGAAAAUGUGCUAAUAGACACACCAGGCCCAAAAAAGAAAAAUCAAGUUUUCUUUUCAAAGGAGAUGGAUCCAAGCCUUUAGAGCCAGCCAAGCAAGCCAUGUCUCCUUCUGUGGCCGA
rnacentral:sRNA from 1 species